CGCAUCUGUGCAUGCAGCAUAUCAAUAAGCGGAGGAAAAGAAACUAACAAGGAUUCCCCUAGUAACGGCGAGUGAAGCGGGAAGAGCUCAAAUUUGAAAUCUUAAAGGGUUUCCCUUUACGAAUUGUAGUUUAAAGAGGUGUUUUCUGUUGAGGUUUUGGUAAAAGUUCUUUGGAAUAGGACAUCAUAGAGGGUGAGAAUCCCGUAUUUGACCUUUACUUUCAACUUUGUGAUACACUUUCAAAGAGUCGGAUUGUUUGGGAAUGCAGUCCAAAAUGGGUGGUAAAUUUCAUCUAAAGCUAAAUAUUGGCGAGAGACCGAUAGCGAACAAGUACCGUGAGGGAAAGAUGAAAAGAACUUUGAAAAGAGAGUUAAACAGUACGUGAAAUUGUCAAAAGGGAAGCGUUUGACACCAGUGUUGUUUUUCCGAAAAUCAAUUACGAAUGGCUUGAUUUUGUGUUGUAUUGACCUUAUCAGCUUUCUGCACUUUUUUCGAGUCUUUCUUAAUGCACUUUUUCGGUUAACAAGUCAACAUCAAUUUCUUUUGUUGUAAAAGAGUAUUCGGAAGGUGGCUUUCUUUUCGGAGAAAGUGUCUAUAGCCCUAUACUUCUACAAUCGGAGAGAUUGAGGUCUGCAGCGUAGAUCCUUCGGGGUUAGAUACAUUUGUGCUAAGUUGUAGCUUUUCAUAGACAACUUGUUGACUAUGUUUAGUCAUGCGGCUUACUCGCUUAUGCUAUUUUACCUACGCUUAGGAUGUUGAGCGCAUGUCUCUCUCU
rnacentral:rRNA from 1 species